AGAAUCAACGCUGGCGGCGUGCCUAACACAUGCAAGUCGAACGAGAAAGUGGAGCAAUCCAUGAGUACAGUGGCGCACGGGUGAGUAACACGUGACUAACCUACCCUGGAGUGGGGGAUAACUGAGGGAAACCUUAGCUAAUACCGCAUAAUACCUACGGGUCAAAGGAGCAAUUCGCUUCAGGAGGGGGUCGCGGCCGAUUAGUUAGUUGGCGGGGUAAUGGCCCACCAAGACAGUGAUCGGUA
rnacentral:rRNA from 1 species